AUGCGUUGCGGAACAUGUUGACUAUAUACAUUUUGUUCCUCUCGUUAUAAGCUUUCGAAUGAGGUAUAAGGUUUAUCUAUAAUUAGGGGCUAAAGGGUCGCAGCAGUCCAUUCCAUUAUUCAAAAUAUCCAUUUCAUUAUUCAAAAUUGGCUAACAUGUUUAACCCCGUCACAUUAUUUAUGUAUGUGUCUGUCCCAAGUCAGGAGUCUGUAAUUUAGUGGUUGUCGUUUGUUUAUGUGUUACAUAUUUGUUUUUCGUUCAUUUUAUAAAAUAAAUAAGGCUUUUAGUUGUCUUGUUUAAAUUGUUUUACAUUGUCUUAUUGGGGCCUUUUAUAGCUGACUAUGCGGUAUGGGCUUUGCUCAUUGUUGUAGGCUGUACGGUGAGCUAUAGUUGUUGAUGUCUGUGUCAUUUUGGUCUUUUGUGGAUGUUUGUUUCAUUGGCAAUGAUACCACAUCUUCUUUUUUUUUUUUAUAUUUUCCUCAUUUUUUAUGCAUAUUGUGGCAUUUAGGUCGUCCGUAAACCCUCUUAUGGUCAUUGCGAAUCAAAAUAUAGCUAUAGUGUCACGGUCAAUUUUUUUUAUAUUUUUUUCACUAUUCACCGCUUCAAUUUGAAUAAUGAAACAUAAACCAUUUCAUUAUUCAUUAUUCAUUUUUCAAUAUUGAAUAGUGAAUAAUGAACUAUUUCAUUAUUCAUUAUUGAAUAAUGAAUAAUGAACUAUGAAUAAUGGACGUA
rnacentral:lncRNA from 1 species